GGCAAGGCUGAAGUUGCUGGUUUGCGCUGGAAGACAGUAGUGUGGACAGGCAUGUUCCUCAGUGAACAGAGAAUAGCAAGAAGACGUGUGAAGCUCGUUUUACCCGUUAGAGGGCAGAAGUGUACCAGCGAAGAGCCUGGGAAGCGUCGCUGCUGCCUGCCAGUGCGAAUGUAAAUCAGCGGCAGAGGCCUGGUGUGCAGCAGCAUGCAGCUCGCUCUCGUUGAACUAACUGCAGAGCUACUUGGGAAGCCAAACGACUCGCCGGAUUUAUUAAAAUGCAUUGCUUGCUUUGCUUCAGCAGUGCUGAUGUUGCAGAGCAUCUUCUAUAAACUGAUAUUCUGGCACCGCCUUUGGCCUGUCGCUAUUUCAACUUUUUGGAGCUGUUUAAAGGGGAAGCGUGUGCUCUGUGGCAGGGAGCACAGCUGCAGCAUCCAGCCUCUCCAGGGCACCGAGGUGUCUCCAACCAGCGGGACUCUCCUCAUCACAGGAGUCUGGGCCUACGUUGACACGCAGAAGUCAUCACCAGGGCAGCAAGGCUGCUCCCGGUGCAGCCCGCCUCUGCGUCCCAGCGAGCCCGGGGUUCGCUAAGGGCUCCCCUUCGCCUAACGAGCCCCUUGACAG
rnacentral:lncRNA from 1 species